rnacentral:rRNA from 1 species
GACGAACGCUGGCGGCGUGCUUAACACAUGCAAGUCGAACGGAAAGGCCCUGCGUUUGUGGGUUGCUCGAGUGGCGAACGGGUGAGUAACACGUGAGUAACCUGCCCUUGACUUUGUGAUAACUUCAGGAAACUGGGGCUAAUACCGGAUAGGAUCUCCUGCUGCAUGGGGGGGGUUGGAAAGUUUCGGCGGUUGGGGCUGGACUCGCGGCUUAUCAGCUUGUUGGUGGGGUAGUGGCGUACCAAGGCUUUGACGGGUAGCCGGCAUGAGAGGGUGACCGGCGACAUUGGGACUGAGAUACGGACCAGAAUCCUACGGGAGGCAGUAGUGGGGAACAUUGCACAAUGGCGGGACGCCUGAUGCAGCAACGCCGCGUGCGGGAUGCCGGCCUUCGGGUUGUAAACCGCUUUCGACUGUGACGAAGCGUGAGUGACGGUAAUGGGUAAAGAAGCACCGGCUAACUACGUG